GACGAACGCUGGCGGCGUGCUUAACACAUGCAAGUCGAACGGAAAGGCCCUGCUUUUGUGGGGUGCUCGAGUGGCGAACGGGUGAGUAACACGUGAGUAACCUGCCCUUGACUUUGGGAUAACUUCAGGAAACUGGGGCUAAUACCGGAUAGGAGCUCCUGCUGCAUGGUGGGGGUUGGAAAGUUUCGGCGGUUGGGGAUGGACUCGCGGCUUAUCAGCUUGUUGGUGGGGUAGUGGCUUACCAAGGCUUUGACGGGUAGCCGGCCUGAGAGGGUGACCGGCCACAUGGGGCUUGAGAUACGCCGCCGACUCGUGCGGGAGGCGGCGGGGGGGAAUAUUGCAGAGGGGGGGGAGGCCUAGUGCAGCCGCGCCGCGGGCGGGAUGGGGGCUUUCGGGUUGUAAACCGCUUUCGCCUGUGACGAAGGGUGAGGGCGGGUAAGGGAUAAAGAACCCCCGGCUAAUUCCGUC
rnacentral:rRNA from 1 species